GGCUGGGGCUGAAUGGUAGAGCACUUGCCUAGCAUGCAUGAGGCACUGGGUUCUAUCCCCAGUGCCA
rnacentral:tRNA from 1 species